CGCGCGCGCCGCCGCGACAGUUUGACUAACGUCUUUUCCCCAUUCGGCCGUCUAAAUUGUUUUUUUCGGAAUUUCUUUUAUUACUUUUAUACAAAUUGUAUGUGUCAAUGACAAGAUCUAAGAGAAAGUUCGCGAUCACCGACAAAUUUCUCCCAAGACUUGCUAAAAACCUGUGUACCCGCAAGGGUAGUCGUCGAGCGAACACCGGCAACCGCUUGGAACACGCGGUGCUUACCCACAUCCAGCACGUGCCUUAGCUUCUCUCCCCUCCGGCCGCCCCUCAUCAACCAUCUCGCUUCCACCGGCUCCGCUGUACAACAACAGAAAGAGAUCGCUGCUAGCAUGGCCCGCGGCGACGAAUCCAAGACUGCCACCAAGGCUAACCACGCGUGUAAACACUUAGAUGUCACUGGUCCCAUGAAAAAGCCUUUCGCAUCCCCCGCUCCAAAGAAGGAGGAGAAGAAAGAAAACUACGGGGCCUUUGGCCAGAUGUUCAAAAACAAGAAAAACUUUACGGAUAUGCACUUCUGCUGAGCCGGAUCACGCAUCAUCAUCAUGUCACAUCCAGAUUAACCAAAUAUUUGUAAUUUACCGACAAUAAAGUCGUGAAACUGUA